AUCAUUAUUGAGUUAGGGUCCUCUGGGCCCCAUCUCCAACCCUUGUCUAUCCUACCAUGUUGCUUUGGCGGGCCCGUUCUCAACCGGACCGCUGGGGACUCGCUUCCCUAGCCCGUGCCCGUCAGUAGCCCCUAACAACUCCAAGUCACGGUGAUGUCUAAGUAGAACUAUAAUGAACUAAAACUUUUAACAACGGAUCUCUUGGUUCUGGCAUCGAUGAAGAACGCAGCGAAAUGCGAUAAGUAAUGCGAAUUGCAGAAUUCCGUGAGUCAUCGAAUCUUUGAACGCACAUUGCGCCCUCUGGUAUUCCGGAGGGCAUGCCUGUUCGAGCGUCAUUAUCAACCUCAAGCUCGGCUUGCUGUUGGGUCUCGCCGUGGCAAGCACGGUGGAUCUCAAAGAUAAUGAUAGAGUCUGAAGGACCCUGGAUGCAGCGAGCUUUUAGCACGCGUCCGGAUGGUGUUUCGGGCUCGGUCUUAACCAACAAGAUUUCUGGUUGACCUCGGAUCAGGUGGGGAUACCCGCUGAACUUAAGCAUAUCAAUAAGCGGAGGA
rnacentral:rRNA from 1 species